GCUCAGAACGAAAGCUGGCGGCGUGCUUCACACAUGCAAGUCGAACGAACCUUCGGGUUAGUGGCGGACGGGUGAGUAACGCGUGAGCAUCUGCCCUCAGGAGGGGGAUAACGGUUGGAAACGACCGCUAAUACCCCAUAUGCCGAGAGGUGAAAAGAAAUUCGCCUGAGGAUGAGCUCGCGUCUGAUUAGCUAGUUGGUGUGGUAAUGGCGCACCAAGGCUUCGAUCAGUAGCUGGUCUGAGAGGAUGAUCAGCCACACUGGGACUGAGACACGGCCCAGACUCCUACGGGAGGCAGCAGUGGG
rnacentral:rRNA from 1 species